rnacentral:rRNA from 1 species
GGGUCAGUAGGUUGGUCGUGCCACCGGUACGUACUGGUCUCACUGAUUCCUCCUUCCUGAAGAACCGUAAUGCCAUCAAUUUGGUGUUGCGGGGAAACAGGACUGUCACUUUGAAAAAAUUAGAGUGUUUAAAGCAGGCUAACGCUUGAAUACAUUAGCAUGGAAUAAUGAAAUAGGACGAUCGAUCCUAUUUUGUUGGUUUCUAGGAUUGACGUG